AUCAACUUUCGAUGGUAGGAUAGAGGCCUACCAUGGUGGUAACGGGUAACGAGGUGUUAGGGCACGACACCGGAGAGGGAGCCUGAGAAACGGCUACCACAUCCAAGGAUGGCAGCAGGCGCGCAAAUUACCCAAUCCCGACACGGGGAGGUAGUGACAAUAAAUAACAAUACGGGGUUCUUUAGGAUCUCGUAAUUGGAAUGAGUACAAUUUAAAUCUCUUAACGAGGAACAAUUGGAGGGCAAGUCUGGUGCCAGCAGCCGCGGUAAUUCCAGCUCCAAUAGCGUAUAUUAAAGUUGUUGCAGUUAAAAAGCUCGUAGUUGAAUUUCGGGGUCAGUAGGUUGGUCGUGCCACAGGUAUGAACUGGUCUCACUGAUUCCUCCUUCCUGAUGAACCGUAAUGCCAUUAAUUUGGUGUUGCGGGGAGACUGGACUGUUACUUUGAAAAAAUUAGAGUGUUUAAAGCAGGCUUACGCUUGAAUACAUUAGCAUGGAAUAAUGAAAUAGGACAUCGCAUUCUAUUUUGUUGGUUUCUAGGAUCGAUGUAAUGAUUAAUAGGGAUAGUUGGGGGCAUUAGUAUUCAAUUGUCAGAGGUGAAAUUCUUGGAUUUAUUGAAGACUAACUACUGCGAAAGCAUUUGCCAAGGAUGUUUUCAUUAAUCAAGAACGAAAGUUAGGGGAUCGAAGACGAUCAGAUACCGUCGUAGUCUUAACCAUAAACUAUGCCGACUAGGGAUCGGAUGAUGUUAAUUUUUAAAUGACUCAUUCGGCACCUUACGGGAAACCAAAGUGUUUGGGUUC
rnacentral:rRNA from 1 species